GAUGAACGCUGGCGGCGUGCCUAAUACAUGCAAGUCGAGCGAACAGACGAGGAGCUUGCUCCUCUGACGUUAGCGGCGGACGGGUGAGUAACACGUGGAUAACCUACCUAUAAGACUGGGAUAACUUCGGGAAACCGGAGCUAAUACCGGAUAAUAUAUUGAACCGCAUGGUUCAAUAGUGAAAGACGGUUUUGCUGUCACUUAUAGAUGGAUCCGCGCCGCAUUAGCUAGUUGGUAAGGUAACGGCUUACCAAGGCAACGAUGCGUAGCCGACCGGAGAGAGUGAUCGGCCACACUGGAACUGAGACACGGUCCAGACUCCUACGGGAGGCAGCAGUAGGGAAUCUUCCGCAAUGGGCGAAAGCCUGACGGAGCAACGCCGCGUGAGUGAUGAAGGUCUUCGGAUCGUAAAACUCUGUUAUUAGGGAAAAACAAAUGUGUAAGUAACUAUGCACGUCUUGACGGUACCUAAUCAGAAAGCAACGGCUAACUACGUG
rnacentral:rRNA from 1 species